rnacentral:rRNA from 1 species
UACAGAGGGGGCAAGCGUUAUUCGGAAUUAUUGGGCGUAAAGGGCGCGUAGGCGGUCUGACAAGUGGAAGGUGAAAUCCCCGCGCUUAACGUGGGAACUGCCUUCCAAACUGUUUGGCUUGAGACCGGGAGAGGUGAGUGGAAUUCCCAGUGUAGCGGUGAAAUGCGUAGAUAUUGGGAGGAACACCAGUGGCGAAGGCGGCUCACUGGACCGGUACUGACGCUGAGGCGCGAAAGCGUGGGGAGCAAACGGG